rnacentral:rRNA from 1 species
GGGCCCGCACAAGCAGCGGAGCGUGUGGUUUAAUUCGAGGCUACACGAAGAACCUUACCUGGGUUUGACAUACAAGUGGUAGUGAACUGAAAAGGGAACGACCUUCGGGAGCUUGUACAGGUGCUGCAUGGCUGUCGUCAGCUCGUGCCGUGAGGUGUUCGGUUAAGUCCGCAAACGAGCGCAACCCUCGGCGUUAGUUACAAGUGUCUAACGCAACUGCCCGUGAGAAACGGGAGGAAGGUGGGGAUGACGUCAAGUCAGCAUGGCCUUUAUAUCCAGGGCUACACACACGCUACAAUGGGCGGUACAAUGGGUCGCGAAGCCGCGAGGUGAAGCCAAUCCAGAAAGCCGUUCGUAGUUCAGAUUGCAGGCUGCAACUCGCCUGCAUGAAGUUGGAGUUGCUAGUAACCGCAGGUCAGCUAUACUGCGGUGAAUACGUUCCCGGGCCUU